UCAUAUUCUUAGAAAAAUAGUUUAUCCAGGAUGGUGGCAGUGGGAGGUUAGUUAAGCUCGAAGAGAAGGUCACUGAAGAGCCAAGAGCUAUAGAUCUUUAGAAACCCAUUAUCUAUGAGUCAGUAGUAGAUGUUCCUCAACCACCUCGUAGAUCUAGUAUGGUCUCCCGACCUUCUAAAAGAUACAUGGAUAUACUUACAGAGGAAGUAAAGAAAAUAUUUCUUAUGGG
rnacentral:lncRNA from 1 species